rnacentral:rRNA from 1 species
UACGUAGGGUGCAAGCGUUGUCCGGAAUUAUUGGGCGUAAAGAGCUCGUAGGCGGUUUGUCACGUCGGCUGUGAAACCCUGGGGCUCAACCCCGGGCCUGCAGCCGAUACGGGCUGACUAGAAUUCGGUAGGGGAGUCUGGAAUUCCUGGUGUAGCGGUGAAAUGCGCAGAUAUCAGGAGGAACACCGGUGGCGAAGGCGGCUUACUGGUCCGGUUCUGACGCUGAGGCGCGAAAGCGUGGGGGAGCAAACAGG